GAUCAGAUCAAGCGCGAGAAGGGCGUUUGGUGAAUGCCUUGGCAGUAAGAGGCGAUGAAGGACGUGAUACUCUGCGAUAAGUCCUGGCGAGCUGAGAAUAAGCUUUGACCCAGGAAUUUCCGAAUGGGGCAACCCACCAGAAAGUUUGUUAUAAUUGCCGUAUGGCAGCUUAUAACCUGCUUAAUCUGGUACUUAUUACCUGAAUACAUAGGGUUUUAAGAGCAAACCCGGGGAACUGAAACAUCUAAGUACCCGGAGGAAAGGACAUCAAUAUGAUACUCCCCUAGUAGCGGCGAGCAAACGGGGACCAGCCGAGCCUUGAGAGUGAGAAGAACACGUUGGGAAGCGUGGCCAUAGCGGGUGACAGCCCCGUAUUCGAAGCUCGAUGGGACGUAUUAAGUAGGGCGGGACACGUGAAAUCCUGUCUGAAGAUCGGGGGACCACCCUCGAAGGCUAAGUACUCCUUACUGACCGAUAGUGAACCAGUACCGUGAGGGAAAGGUGAAAAGCACCCCGACGAGGGGAGUGAAACAGUACCUGAAACCGAACGCCUACAAUCAGUCGGAGCCCUUCGGGGUGACGGCGUACCUUUUGUAUAAUGGGUCAUCGACUUGGUCUCACGUGCAAGCUUAAGCCGUUAGGUGUAGGCGCAGCGAAAGCGAGUCUUAAUAGGGCGUCGAGUUCGUGGGAUCAGACCCGAAACCGAGUGAUCUAGGCAUGAUCAGGAUGAAGAUAAGGUAACACUUAUUGGAGGUCCGAACCCACACCUGUUGAAAAAGGUCGGGAUGAAUUGUGCCUAGGGGUGAAAGGCCAAUCAAACUCGGAGAUAGCUGGUUCUCUGCGAAAUCUAUUUAGGUAGACCGUCAUCCGAAUGCCCCGGGGGGUAGAGCACUGGAUGGGUAAUGGGGCCCCACAGGCUUACUGAUCCUAACCAAACUCCGAAUACCCGGGAGUACUAGAUGGCAGACACACUGCGGAUGCUAACGUCCGUAGUGGAGAGGGAAACAACCCUGACCUCCAGCUAAGGCCCCCAAUUCAUGGCUAAGUGGGAAAGCAGGUGGGACGACCAAAACAACCAGGAGGUUGGCUUAGAAGCAGCCAUCCUUUAAAGAUAGCGUAACAGCUCACUGGUCUAAACAAGUUGUCCUGCGGCGAAGAUGUAACGGGGCUCAAGCCAUGAGCCGAAGCUGAGGAUGCCGUAAGGCAUGGUAGCAGAGCGUAGUGUGACAUAGUCUCAUGUCUCCUUAGCGGGUUCGCCCGCAUUGGAGACGCGAGGCUUUCGAUGAAGCCGGGGCGUGAGCCAUCCGGUGGAGAGAUCACUAGCGAGAAUGAUGACAUGAGUAGCGACAAAGAGUGUGAGAGACACUCUCGCCGAAAGUCCAAGGGUUCCUGCUUAAAGCUAAUCUGAGCAGGGUAAGCCGGCCCCUAAGCCGAGGCCGAAAGGCGUAGGCGAUGGGAACCAGUUUAAUAUUACUGGGCCAGGAGGAUGUGACGGAUUGUGGCGGCGUGCGUCCCUUAUCGGAUUGGGGCGUAUCCAAGACAGUUCCUGGAAAUAGCCCUCCAUCAGACCGUACCCUAAACCGACACAGGUGGACUGGUAGAGCAUACCAAGGCGCUUGAGAGAACGAUGUUGAAGGAACUCGGCAAAAUACCUCCGUAAGUUCGCGAGAAGGAGGCCCGGGCCAUGUGGUCCGGGGGCACAAACCAGGGGG
rnacentral:rRNA from 1 species